AGAUGAUUCAGAUAUUAGCCAUUCGGGCACAGGUGGAAGAGUUGGUUGUAGAUGAAGAAAGUUUAGCUUUCCUUGGGGAGAUGGGCCAAAGAACAUCGUUAAGACAUGCGGUUCAAUUGCUCUCGCCUGCUAGCGUUGUGGCGAAAAUGAAUGGACGAGACAGCAUAUGCAAGGGAGAUCUUGAAGAAGUUUGCGCUCUUUAUCUGGAUGCCAAGUCAUCGGCAAGGCUUCUUCAAGAGCAGCAAGAAAAAUACAUUUCUUGAUUUUUUUUCCAAGUGCUCCAUUUUUAACCGUUUCCCACCAAGAGGUUUUUAUCUGAGGUAAUUAAGAUGGAGAAGAGAGGGAUAAGGAUUGUUU
rnacentral:misc_RNA from 1 species